GAUUAAGCCCUCCUCUGGCUGUGGUCCUUUCAGGAACCUCCCCUUCAUGUUCCACUCAGCCAAACAGUGGGCCCAGGAGCUGAAGAGUACAACCACAAGCUGGCCUGGCUCAACUGGGUACACGCCUGCUUGGUGGAGAACCCCCUCUUCCUGUCCUGUUGGCAGGUGUCUUUCUAAUGGUCAUUUACAUUCACACCCAAGUUUUAGACGGCCAAAGGAAAACAAUCAGUCUGCUACAGGAGCAAAUAGAAAAUGUGUGUGUGUGUGUGUGUGUGUGUGUAUAUGUAUAGACAAAACACUUCUGUUUCAUUUAAUAUUCUUACUAAGAUCGAUCUGUGUGUUGAUGGUUACUCAUCUGUUAUUUUUCAUCACCAGGAGGGGAAGGACAAGAAGUUCUUAAUUACUAGUCUGCAGGCCAUCCAUGAGAAGAGGCAGUAUCCACUGUCCCCUUCCUCCAGGCCUCAGCCACAGGGCAGUGAGGUGAGUGACCCUGACUGCGCCGUGUUCAUUAGCGUACGCAACAGGAAAAUGUUCAGCAACAGAAAAGGAAGUCCAGGUAGGCCCUCCCUGUUUGUGUGCUUUCUUCUGUUUGGUACCUAAUGAACAUGACCCUGUUGUAUGACCUCCAAGAGCUGCUGCUGUGAUUAGUCUGUACCAAAACCAUGGUGUUGUCUUCUGACAGAUCUGUCUUGUCCUGCAAACACAGAUUCAGGUUGAUGUGUUAGUCGAAACAGAUUCAGGUCAUUUCUGUCAAAUAUUACAUUGGUUUCCCUUAUGUCAUUUCAGGUUUAAUAUGUUUUAGUGGAAGAUUAAAUUAUUCCAGAGUAUUCAUUGGAUGCUGCAUGUUAAAUUUUGGACUCCCAUCACAUCAAGGAUAUUUGGCUGCUAUCAACCAGUCAAAGUGAACUCAAAGUGGAGUGAUGUGUGUGUGUGUGUGGUGAAGGACAUUGAGACAUUUCUUGUAGAAUGUAACUAUGACUGAUAUGUGUUCAAGACUAUCGGAAUGUAAAGUAACUGAGGUUGAUAUCUAUUCAAGACUAUCAGAAUGUGAAGUAACUGAGACUGAUAUGUAUUCUAGACCAUCAAAAUGUGAAGUAACUGAGACUGAUAUGUAUUCAAGACCAUCCGAGGUGUGUUUUAUACUAGUAUGGUAGUAUAACUGUCUAAUUUGCCUUUUGUUAAUAUAUAUUUAUUGUAUCUAGGCUGCCUGUCACCGCUUUCAAGCUUCAAUGUAUACUGAACAAAAAUAUAAACGCAACAUGCAACAAUUUCAACGAUUUUACUGAGUUACAGUUUGUCAUGACGUUGCAGUCUUUGGGUACAGUGAGCACCCCUCCCUCUGCACCAGCCCUUUUCUAUGCACCAUCCCCCUACCCCCCUGUGUCCUACACCCAGGCUGCUGUGGUCAGAGAGAGGUUGUAAAUUCCUGGAGGAGAUUAUCUCCUCAUGGCCACAGUAUAAAGACAGAGUGAGUUUUCAUAGAGAGAACAAAGGAAUUUCUUCCACCUCACAGAACUUGAGGUCCGAACAACAUUUAUGUUCUGGAGAAGGUAUAAAAGAUCGGUGAAGAAUCCAACUAUGAAUUGGUCCGUUUGGUACAAUUUUGUGAAACUCAUGGGAGACAAUACGGCCACAUUACCAUAACGCUGUUUAUAUAAUAGCCUCAGUUAUGAGGCUUGCAUCUAAUUGCUGUACAGGAUGAAUGAGGAAAGAUUAAACUAUUUGUGGGAUGCUAUGUAAUGUGAAAGAAUUGUAUUUCUGUGUAAAGUUUCACUUAAGUCACUGGCACGCCCCCAUGAACACAGUUGGGACCUGGCAUCAUGAGACAGCCUUUUUCUGCUCUUCCGAAUAAAACCUCCACCUUGAGAAUUCUCAACAGACUCUAUUUCUCUCAACUACRAGAGGACGAAGGUUGCAGACCAGUUUACCUCGAUAACGAGAGGGCCAAGGUUUGAGACCAGACUGCUGAAUCUUUUAACCAUCCCACGUCAUUAAACUCUUAGACUAUCGAUACCGACAGAAUAAGAACACAUAAAACACAUCUUUAUAUUAAUUAUUGGUCUGCAGCUAGGAAUUCAGUAUCAUUAAACACGAAGACCGACAACCGCCGAAACAUCUAUUCUAUAACGACAUGAAUGAAGUCACUCUGAACUAUCCAUCUAACCACGACAGAGAGAGAUAGAACAGAAACAAACUUUUUAACAGAGAUCAAGACGACACACUGAGCGUAAAUCUAUAUAUGAUUGCAAUUGUUCCCGAAUGAGUGAGCGUUCAUGUGCAAAGGAUUAGCAUUUCAAUUGUUAUAAAUCUAACUUUGCAGUGUCUCGUCUCAGUUGACCCCAACUUCCCUUUUUGUCCACCAAGCUGCGAUACCGGUUUAUCCCACUAGGGAACCUCCGUUAUUUCCUUGUAACGAUCUACUGUUUGUUUAUGCAUUUCUGUGAAUUACUUAGUUAGUAAAUAAAUAUUUUAAGACAAUGAGGUAUGGAUGACUCAU
ensembl:lncRNA